rnacentral:rRNA from 1 species
UACGUAGGGGGCGAGCGUUGUCCGGAAUCAUUGGGCGUAAAGCGCGUGUAGGCGGCUCGAUAAGUCUGCUGUGAAAGUUCAGGGCUCAACCCUGAAAUGCCGGUGGAAACUGUCGGGCUAGAGUCCGGAAGAGGCGAGUGGAAUUCCUGGUGUAGCGGUGAAAUGCGCAGAUAUCAGGAGGAACACCAAUGGCGAAGGCAGCUCGCUGGGACGGUACUGACGCUGAGACGCGAAAGCGUGGGGAGCAAACAGG